CUGAGGAUAUCUUGCUGUUCUGAUUUUAUAAUAGGACAGGCUAAAGAUUAGCUGUAUGAAGACCACUCACAUUUCCCCAGUCCUAAUUCCUUCCCCAGGUCUGGUUUUAUACACGCUGGUAAUAAGC
rnacentral:snoRNA from 1 species